rnacentral:rRNA from 1 species
GACGAACGCUGGCGGCGUGCUUAACACAUGCAAGUCGAACGGAAAGGCCCUGCUUUUGUGGGGUGCUCGAGUGGCGAACGGGUGAGUAACACGUGAGUAACCUGCCCUUGACUUUGGGAUAACUUCAGGAAACUGGGGCUAAUACCGGAUAGGAGCUCCUGCUGCAUGGUGGGGGUUGGAAAGUUUCGGCGGUUGGGGAUGGACUCGCGGCUUAUGAGCUUGUUGGUGGGGUAGUGGCUUACCAAGUCUUUGACGGGUAGCCGGCCUGAGAGGGUGACCGGCCACAAGGGGACUGAGAGACGGCCCAGACUGCAACGGGAGGCAGCAGUGGGGAAUAUUGCACAAUGGGCGGAAGCCUGAUGCAGCAACGCCGCGUGCGGGAUGACGGCCUUCGGGUUGUAAACCGAUUUCGCCUGUGACGAAGCGUGAGUGACGGUAAUGGGUAAAGAAGCACCGGCUAACUACGUG